rnacentral:rRNA from 1 species
UACGUAGGGUGCGAGCGUUGUCCGGAAUUAUUGGGCGUAAAGAGCUCGUAGGCGGUCUGUCGCGUCGGUCGUGAAAACUUGGGGCUUAACCCUGAGCUUGCGGUCGAUACGGGCAUGACUGGAGUUCGGCAGGGGAGACUGGAAUUCCUGGUGUAGCGGUGAAAUGCGCAGAUAUCAGGAGGAACACCGGUGGCGAAGGCGGGUCUCUGGGCCGUUACUGACGCUGAGGAGCGAAAGCGUGGGGAGCGAACAGG